CAUUGCAAUGUACUCCUCCAUGAAAUAGAUUUGGUCCAUUUAAACCCACAAAUUGUGCUAAAUCUGGUCAUCGGGAAACCAUGAGAAAUAACUCAGGAGGCAAGGGCACUUCUGAGUGCCUGUGACCCAGUUUUGGUACCAGUGCCCAUGGUAAAUAGAACUAUCCUUUGAGUGGGUUUAGAGAUUAGCAGGGAAGGUGCCACAUACUUUGUCAAAUGCCUCCUUGCAGAGGUUAUGGGACCACUGUGCUAGGUGCUACAGAAAAAAACCAUCCGGAAGGUUCACAGCACAGAGGGACCCAACACGACGGAUAAUGCGGAUAAUUCAUUCCAGCUGUGACUGGCCCCACAACCCUGCAUCUCACUCUCUCCAGACAGAAGGCAUGUAUAGAUUAGGCAUGUCUUGCCUAACAUAGGUAUUUGCAUUUAUUCUACUUGAAUUGCAUCAACAAGAGUCUUGGCAUUACAAAUCUGCCAAGACUCUUUUUGCUUCUGGACCCCAGCAUCCAGGACUCCUCCAACAUCCCAUGCCAUGCACAAAGCUGAUCAACACAACAUGUGGUCAUCCAGGAUUUGAGUUUUCGUUAAUACCAGAUGAAGAGUGAUUCUUACAGAAACUCAUUUUGACAGAAAUCCAUUGGUAACCACUUUGAAUGUCAUUUUGCAAAUAGAUUUUUAUUUUCUGCCUGGUGCUUUAGUUUAGAUCAAUUGUAAGGAACUGUCAAAAGCCUCACUAUGUUCACGAUGUACAUCUGCAACAAUUAAUGUGUCUUUUAGUGCCUCUCCUCUAGCCAGAGAGUUGGCUACCUUACUAUGGUUGGACUUGAUUUUAAAGAUCUUUUCCAAUCUAAAUGAUUCUAUGAAUCUAUAAUUCUAUGGAACAGGCAACCAGUGUGGAAAACAAAAAGAAAAAGAAAAAGAAAACCACUCCCAAACUAUUUGCUAAAUUAGCAACCUGAAAUUGACAACCUUUUCUUUUCUUGUAAACCUGAAGAGAAAGGAGGUUUAGGCAGAAAAAAAAAUUAAUUUCCAAUAGGUGCACACUCUUUUUGUACCUAGAAUGACCAGGGUCUCUGCAAAUUUGAGGAUCCAGAAAGGUGCUGAUAACGCCACCACAAGAAGGGACAUGCAAAAGAAGCACUCAAAAUGCACACGAAAUUGCACAGAACAGAGGAAAAAGAGCAGGGGGGGUUUCUAAUUGAGCAUGUUCCAACAAAUGUAGGACAAGCUCAUGGUAAUGGGAGGUUGGCAGGAGGGAAAAGAGAGGUGAGCAAACAAUUUAAAUGCCAUACAUCAAAGAAAGGCAAAACACACUACCACAGCAUGAACAGGCAAUGCCUCACAGGAAUGCUUAUUUCUCUAUAUGUACCUAAAACAAUGAAUAAAUACAUGGAGAACAAUAAUCAUUUCAGCACUAAAAACAAGAAGAAAAAAGAACAAAAGCACAACACACCUUGCAGCAGUCUAGUGCCCUGAUCAGUCAGUACAGUAGCAAAAGACAAAAACAAACAAACAAGAUUAAUCAGCAAAAACCUCCUAAAAGUAUAAACAAAGAAAAAUUAUUUUUAAAACACAAUUAACACCUAUUUGGGCAUUGCUUUCAAAUUUCUUUUUUGAUGAAAGAUAAGCGAACAUGAGGCAAGACCUAAUUACCUUUUCUUUGUAGGCAAAUCCCAAAGCCAUUACCAAGCCUUGUUGGAUUUAGUCUGCAUCAGUUUAUAAAAGAGUAGCUCAGAAUACCGUGUGUUCCCCAUCUCUACACCUGCUCAGCAGCGUGGGAAAUCACCAGGCACCUUAGUCCUUAAAUACAUUGGAGGAUGUCCUACGUACACAUGUGUAGGCAAUAUUCAGAGGCACUCUGCAUGAAGAGCAGGCUCGGUCUUGACCGUAAUUUGACUGCAACAGCCACAUCCAGUGGACAGCAAGUCUACUGUGGACUUUCUUUCCAGGAUUCCACAGUUUACCCCCCUCCACCCUUUGCUCUGUGUAAUCCUUCCUGUGUUAAUGUUGGUGGAUUUUAAUGUUCCUUGGGCCAUUGACCUGUAAUUUUUGCAAGAAAGUCUUUGCAAUUCCCUGGAGCUACAUAAAUAAUUGACAGUAAUUAAUUAUUAUUAUACCUGCCCAAAAAGUGAAGACAGUGAUCUAUCACCAGAAGUGGAAAAUUACUAAAAGCUAUACUUUAGCCAAGCUCUCCAAAAAGAUGUGUUCUGUAUUUUCCUCUGUUAUAUGUAUUAAACGGUACCUUCUGCAUCAAAAAUUUUCACCAAUUUUCAGAAGCACAAGCAGCAAUUAGUAUGCCACUGUCAGUAGGCUGCUGUUCAGGACCUCUGCUGUUAAUACCAAGCACCAUUCAGAGCCUGGAAUGAUGCUUCUUAUUUAACCUGUGAGGAGCAUCAAGUCUAAAGACACCACACAAUCUCACGGCCAUUCUCACAACUCCCCGCUAGGCAUGGGCAUUUUUAAAAUAGAUGACCACGCACAAUCUCUUUGCAACAAGAACUUUUUUUCUGUUUGCGUAGUCCAAUGCAAGGAGAAGCUAUCAUAAAACUAGAGCCCCGAACACCUCUAGUAAUACAAACAGCUGUGCUUUACCAAUAGGAGAGAGAGACACGAGCACCCUGAGCCUGCAUUGUCAUUCUCCACGUUUGCUUGCCAGCACCAUUGCAGUCAUCCAGGUCUCAGCCAAGUGGGACUCACAGGAACAUCUCAGACAGUGUUUUGUGCUUUGCAGUGCAGCACAGUUCUGGAGCGUUACACACCGUGGGUUUAAUCUGCCAUUUUUCUGCUGCAAGAACAUGAUGCAAGCCGUAUUGUGUUGGAAUGAGAGCUGAGUUGCUGUUAGAUAAGCCCAACACUGUGUGCUGCAAGAAUAAAGCAGAAUUUAUAGGUAGUCCAAAA